GGCUCGGGCAGUUGGCCGGCAUGCCACUGCGCAUGUGUAUCAACUACAAGGGUGGGUGCUGGGGUUGAGGCUUUCGAUUAACACCGAAGCCAAAGAGCAAGGUAAUGCUGUGCCUCUUUGUCGAGCCAAACCCACCCCCAGCUUUAUCAGUCUUCAAGCAAGUUCCCCACCAGCCACUUGCCUGAAAAUCCCGGCAACAAAGCUGUCCUCAGGAAUUGACCACAAGCCUAAGGAAUGCCUAGGACUCCUAGAAUGUAUGUAUGCCAGUCUCCAGCUUGAGACCCAGCUUGCCCAACAACAGAUGGCUAUUUUUGAAAAUUUACAAGCAUCCGUGACAUAACUGGCUCCUGGGAGAGAAAGCCAGAACUCUUCUCUCCCAACCUUAUCUUGCAAUCUGUUGUUAACUCACC